UGGGGAAUUUUGGACAAUGGGCGAAAGCCUGAUCCAGCAAUGCCGCGUGUGUGAAGAAGGCCUUCGGGUUGUAAAGCACUUUUGUCCGGAAAGAAAUCCUUGGCUCUAAUACAGUCGGGGGAUGACGGUACCGGAAGAAUAAGCACCGGCUAACUACGUGCCAGCAGCCGCGGUAAUACGUAGGGUGCAAGCGUUAAUCGGAAUUACUGGGCGUAAAGCGUGCGCAGGCGGUUUGCUAAGACCGAUGUGAAAUCCCCGGGCUCAACCUGGGAACUGCAUUGGUGACUGGCAGGCUAGAGUAUGGCAGAGGGGGGUAGAAUUCCACGUGUAGCAGUGAAAUGCGUAGAGAUGUGGAGGAAUACCGAUGGCGAAGGCAGCCCCCUGGGCAAUACUGACACUCAUGCACGAAAGCGUGGGGAGCAAACAGGAUUAGAUACCCUGGUAGUCCACGCCCUAAAACGAUGUCAACUAGUUGUUGGGGAUUCAUUUCCUUAGUAACGUAGCUAACGCGUGAAGUUGACCGCCUGGGGAGUACGGUCGCAAGAUUAAAACUCAAAUGAAUUGACGGGGUCAUAGCUGUUUCCU
rnacentral:rRNA from 1 species